UGGUGGAGUGAUUUGUCUGGUUAAUUCCGUUAACGAACGAGACCUUAACCUGCUAACUAGUUCUGUCAACUCCCUUGGCAGCUACUUCUUAGAGGGACUAUACGAAUCAAACGCAUGGAAGUUUGAGGCAAUAACA
rnacentral:rRNA from 1 species